rfam:Trichinella papuae scaffold1s, whole genome shotgun sequence.
CCAACGGCCCUUUUAAGGGCCAUCUGUUGUGACCUUGAAAAUGUC